rnacentral:rRNA from 1 species
AAAUAGAUACCCCGUGGUAGUCCACGCCGUAAACGAUGAGUGCUAAGUGUUGGGGGGUUUCCGCCCCUCAGUGCUGCGAGCUAACGCAUUAGGCACUCCGCCUGGGGAGUACGGUCGCAAGACUGAAACUCAAAGGAAUUGACGGGGGCCCGCACAAGCGGUGGAGCAUGUGGUUUAAUUCGAAGCAACGCGAAGAACCUUACCAGGUCUUGACAUCCCGGUGACCACUAUGGAGACAUAGUUUCCCCUUCGGGGGCAACGGUGACAGGUGGUGCAUGGUUGUCGUCAGCUCGUGUCGUGAGAUGUUGGGUUAAGUCCCGCAACGAGCGCAACCCUUAUUCUUAGUUGCCAUCAUUCAGUUGGGCACUCUAAGGAGACUGCCGGUGAUAAACCGGAGGAAGGUGGGGAUGACGUCAAAUCAUCAUGCCCCUUAUGACCUGGGCUACACACGUGCUACAAUGGACGGUACAAACGGUUGCCAACCCGCGAGGGGGAGCUAAUCCGAUAAAACCGUUCUCAGUUCGGAUUGUAGGCUGCAACUCGCCUAC